ensembl:lncRNA
UUUACAUUUCUUUUUUUCCACCAAAAAAUGUUCAAAGAUUUCCCAAAAAUGUUGAAAAUGUGGACAUCAGAAGUUUCACUGUGAAAAUAUAUAUUUUUCCCACAUUUUGAAAUUUUAAAAUGGGUCAAUUUUACCCACAGGACGACAUGAGGGUGAAACUUAUUUUGAGUUUUCUUGUAAAAUUCAACUCAAAGCAAGAUAAUUUCAAGAUUGUUUGACUUAACAAGAUAUUUAAGAUGCGUUGUCUUAAAACAAGUCCCUCCAUCUGCUGAAAUGUCUCUUGUUAAGUGAAUUUAUCUUAAAUCAAGUGGGAUGAGACAUUUGGACUAAAAAUAAGACAAACAGACUUGGUAAGAUUUGGAGUUUUUGCAGUGUUGCAGGUUUCUUUUAUGCUGCGUCUCAUCUCAAGGAUGUAGAGCACUAUGAUUAUUACAUAAUGCAGAGUUAGUUACGUAAUGAGAUCUGCAUGGCAGCGAGACGGCAGUAUUGUUUGGCAGUGGAGGGCCUGCAGGGCGUGACGUUUGGCAGGAUCGGGGGAAUCACCCACUGUUCCCAAUGGGGGGAUCCUAUAACCUCAUGCAGUAUAAAUGAUGCUUGUGUGUGUGUGUGUGUGUGUGUGUGUGUGUGUGUUUGUGUCGGUGUAACGGAGGGUAAAUGGUGGCUCAGGUGUCGUGGAAAGACAGAGCCUCUCAUCUCUCCUGUGUUUCUGCCCUUUAGAGCCGAGCUGAGAGAAGGCUUUGAAUGACGACCAAGUUAUUGAGCUCAUAGAUCAGCUGGUUUAGUCGUGGAUUAGAUGCUUUGACACCCUAAUAUAUGAUUGUUAUAUUCUACAAAUAUUAGCUUGAGCUAAUCCCAAAGUCACUGGAUGUAACUUAACCCUCCUGUUGUCCUCAUUUAUGGGCACCAAAAAAUAAUGUUUCCUUGUCUGUAAAAAAUCAAACAAAUCAGCCAAAAAAAUUCCCAAAAUUUCUGAAACUUUUUUUAUGACAAGACCUGUUCAUGCAUAUAGUUGGAGUGAUUGGCCAUUUUAACUCAUCAUUUGUGUCAUUUUAGCCAUUUUUGUUGCAAAAUGAGGGGAGACUAGAAGCUCUUAAAUCCUACAGACAACGUCAUCAAAACAUACUUUCAGUUUACCAAUAAAUUAAUUCCUUGUAAGGCAAUUCCCUAAACCAGGAUUAAAAGGUGUGUUUGUUUGCGUCUUUUUUCUGCUGUGGAUUUGUUGCAUGUGGGAAUAAAAUGAAACUGCAGUUUGUGAGUUCCUGAUAAUGAAGGGAUGUGUUUCUCAGUGGAUGACAGCAGCAGCACAGAGGAACAAGAUAUACACUUACAUUAGACAAUGUAGGAUUAAUUUGGUGCUGAUUUCGGUCUUUUAAUAGAAUGUAUUAUUAUGGGAGGAGGAAUCGUGGUGGUGGACCAAUCCGACAGGUCUGGAGGUCUGGAGCUCCAGGACCAUCACUCCUGCUGACUGCCAGGUGGAGCUUCAGUCAGCUGUGAUCAAUCAGGUCUCCACAAGCUGCCAUCCAGACACAAAGAGGCUGUACGAAGUCAAACUAGCAGAGAACGCUACAAACAACAACAGUAAGGUUUGAAUUAGUCCAGUACAUCAGUUUGUCAUGAUGGAGUGUAGAGCGGUUUCACAGCGUUACAUCCAACCAAUGUUAAGCAGGCCGGCUGGACGUAGAAUAUAUCUGAGACUUCUGACCCUGUGACACGACCACACAGGGGUAAUGGUGUUGUCGUGAUCCAGCCGACCUCAUGUGUGUCCAUGGAUCUUUUCUGCAGCUAUUUUAGCAGCAUUAUGUCUUGUACUAACUGGAGCCGAAGCCCAUUUUGCCCUUUUUUUAGCCGCGACAUCCUGUUGUCUUUGGAAGUUUGUUGUUGAUCAGUGUGGUUCCAUGUUGUCUUCACAUCUGUAAAGGUUUAGGGAGUAUUUAUAG